rnacentral:rRNA from 1 species
CGCUAGCGGCAGGCUUAACACAUGCAAGUCGAACGAAGUUCUUCGGAACUUAGUGGCGAACGGGUGAGUAACACGUAGGUAAUGUACCCUUUGGUGAAGGAUAACUCAGGGAAACCUGAGCUAAUACUGCAUAUGUCCUUCGGGAUAAAAGUCUUCGGACGCCUUAGGAGCAGCCUGCGGCCCAUCAUCUAAUCCUAGUUGUAGGUAACGGCUACCAAGGGUACGAUGGGUAGCUGGUCUGAGAGGAUGAUCAGCCACACUGGGACUGAGACACGGCCCAGACUCCUACGGGAGGCAGCAGUGGGGAAUAUUGCGCAAUGGGGGAAACCCUGACGCAGCCAUGCCGCGUGUGUGAUGAAGGCCCUCGGGUCGUAAAGCACUGUCGGGAGGGACGAAGAUCUGACGGUACCUCGCAAGAAAGCACCGGCUAACUCCGUG